AUACAGAGGGUGCAAGCGUUAAUCGGAUUUACUGGGCGUAAAGCGCGCGUAGGUGGCUAAUUAAGUCAAAUGUGAAAUCCCCGAGCUUAACUUGGGAAUUGCAUUCGAUACUGGUUAGCUAGAGUAUGGGAGAGGAUGGUAGAAUUCCAGGUGUAGCGGUGAAAUGCGUAGAGAUCUGGAGGAAUACCGAUGGCGAAGGCAGCCAUAUGGCAUAAUACUGACACUGAGGUGCGAAAGCAUGGGGAGCAAACAGGAUUAGAUACCCUGGUUGCCCAUGCCGUAAACGAUGUCUACUAGCCGUUGGGGCCCUUGAGGCUUUAGUGGCGCAGCUAACGCGAUAAGUAGACCGCCUGGGGAGUACGGUCGCAAGACUAAAACUCAAAUGAAUUGACGGGG
rnacentral:rRNA from 1 species